CUUUUGUCUUCAACCAGCUCCAUCACAACCGAGAGAGGCAAGGUUUGUGUCUUCGACCUGCUUCGCUGUCAAUACAGGAAGGCAAGAUCUUUUGUCUUCAACCAGCUCCAUCACAACCGAGAGAGGCAAGGUUUGUGUCUUCGACCUGCUUCGCUGUCAAUACAGGAAGGCAAGAUCUUUUGUCUUCAACCAGCUCCAUCACAACCGAGAGAGGCAAGGUUUGUGUCUUCGACUUGCUUCGCUGUCAAUACAGAAAGGCAAGAUCUUUU